GAUGAAGAACGUAGCGAAAUGCGAAAAGUAGUGUGAAUUGCAGAAUUCAGUGAAUCAUCGAAUCUUUGAACGCACAUUGCGCCCCUUGGUAUUCCAUGGGGCAUGCCUGUUCGAGCGUCAUUGCUGCCCUCAAGCACGGCUUGUGUGUUGGGCCCCGUCCUCCGAUCCCGGGGGACGGGCCCGAAAGGCAGCGGCGGCACCGCGUCCGGUCCUCGAGCGUAUGGGGCUUCGUCACCCGCUCUGUAGGCCCGGCCGGCGCUUGCCGAUCAACCCAAAUUUUUAUCCAGGUUGACCUCGGAUCAGGUAGGGAUACCCGCUGAACUUAAGCAUAUCAAUAAGCGGAGGA
rnacentral:misc_RNA from 1 species